UACGGGGGGUGCGAGCGUUGUCCGGAAUCACUGGGCGUAAAGCGUGCGUAGGCGGUUCGUUGUGUCUGUGGUGAAAGCCCCGGGCUUAACCUGGGAAUGGCCAUGGAAACUGGCGAGCUGGAGUCUGGGAGAGGGUAGUGGAAUUUCCGGUGUAGCGGUGAAAUGCGUAGAGAUCGGAAGGAACACCAGUGGCGAAGGCGGCUACCUGGCCUAAUACUGACACUGAGGCACGAAAGCGUGGGGAGCAAACAGG
rnacentral:rRNA from 1 species